CAAGGUGGAUUGAAAAUAGUCCAACAAAUUAAUUUCACCCCUCCUUUAUUCACCCCUUUUUUCUCGCUCCCCAACUUUAAUGAUUUGUCAUGAGUAAUUAAACAAGGUUGGAAUAAAGCUAGCAAAAGAGAUUAACAAGGAAGGAAACAAAGUUGAAGGAGUAAACUAUUGAUCAAAAGUGAGACAAGGGUGGGGCAUGCAAGUGAAACGGAAAAGGAAUAGAGGCAAAUCCUCAUUGGUGUGAGGAAAAAGUAAUUAAGAAAGUAAGUAACCAAUAAAAGAAAGGGAUAAGGUCCUUGAGGUUUAGGACUUUUUGGCCCUUUUGGGAGAUAGGUAAUAGCACUAGCUAGGUGUGAGAGGAAAUAAGUUUUCAG
rnacentral:lncRNA from 1 species